CCUAAGGUAGCGAAAUUCCUUGUCGGGUAAGUUCCGACCUGCACGAAUGGCGUAACGAUCUCCACACUGUCUCGGCCAGAGACUCGGUUAAAUUGCAGUCGCGGUGAAAAUUCCGUGUACCCGCAGAAAGACGGAAAGACCCUGUGCACCUUUACUAUAGCUUGACAUUGGAUUUUGGGCCUGCAUGUGUAGGAUAGGUGGGAGGCUGUGAACCCUGUACGCCAGUAUGGGGGGAGCCAUCCUUGAAAUACCACCCUUGCAUGUUUAAGAUCCUAACUUCUUCCGGUUAUCCCGGAGAAAGACAGUGUCUGGCGGGUAGUUUGACUGGGGCGGUCGCCUCCUAAAGUGUAACGGAGGCAUGCAAAGGUUCCCUCAGCCUGAUCGGAAACCAGGCGCUGAGUGCAAACGCAUAAGGGAGCUUGACUGUAAGAGAGACAUCUCGAACAGGAACGAAAGUUGGCGUUAGUGAUCCGGUGGUCCCGUAUGGAAGGGCCAUCGCUCAUUGGAUAAAAGGUACGCCGGGGAUAACAGGCUGAUCGCAUCCAAGAGUUCACAUCGACGAUGCGGUUUGGCACCUCGAUGUCGGCUCAUCACAUCCUGGGGCUGAAGCAGGUCCCAAGGGUACGGCUGUUCGCCGUUUAAAGUGGUACGCGAGCUGGGUUUAAAACGUCGUGAGACAGUUUGGUCCCUAUCUUCUGUGGGCGAAGGAGAAUUGAGAGGGCCUGUCCCUAGUACGAGAGGACCGGGAUGGACGCACCCCUGGUGAUCCUGUUGUCGCGCCAGCGGCAUAGCAGGGUAGCUAUGUGCGGAAGGGAUAACCGCUGAAAGCAUCUAAGCGGGAAGCCUGCCUCAAGAUAAGUUCUCCCCUCGAAAGAGCUGAAGGGCCCGGGUAGACUACCCGGUCGAUAGGCUGGAGGUGUAAGCGCGGCGACGUGCUCAGCUGACCAGUACUAAUAGCCCGAGCGGCUUAUUUUU
rnacentral:rRNA from 1 species